rnacentral:rRNA from 1 species
GAUGAACGCUGGCGGCGUGCCUAAUACAUGCAAGUCGAGCGAACAGACGAGGAGCUUGCUCCUCUGACGUUAGCGGCGGACGGGUGAGUAACACGUGGAUAACCUACCUAUAAGACUGGGAUAACUUCGGGAAACCGGAGCUAAUACCGGAUAAUAUAUUGAACCGCAUGGUUCAAUAGUGAAAGACGGUUUUGCUGUCACUUAUAGAUGGAUCCGCGCCGCAUUAGCUAGUUGGUAAGGUAACGGCUUACCAAGGCAACGAUGCGUAGCCGACCUGAGAGGUGGAUCGCCCACACGGAAACUGAGACACGGUCAGGACUCCUACGGGAGGCAGCAGUAGGGAAUCUUCCGCAAGGGGCGAAAGCCUGACGGAGCAACGCGGCGUGAGUGAUGAAGGUCUUCGGAUCGUAAAACUCUGUUAUUAGGGAAGAACAAAUGUGUAAGUAACGAUGCACGUCUGGACGGUACCAAAUCAGAAAGCCACGGCUAACUACGU